rnacentral:rRNA from 1 species
CGGGCCAGAAAUGGUCAACUCUUUGGACACUCGUGAACAGGUGGUGCAUGGUUGUCGUCAGCUCGUGUCGUGAGAUGUUGGGUUAAGUCCCGCAACGAGCGCAACCCUCGUUCUAUGUUGCCAGCGCGUUAUGGCGGGGACUCAUAGGAGACUGCCGGGGUCAACUCGGAGGAAGGUGGGGAUGACGUCAAAUCAUCAUGCCCCUUAUGUCUUGGGCUUCACGCAUGCUACAAUGGCCGGUACAAAGGGCUGCGAUACCGUAAGGUGGAGCGAAUCCCAAAAAGCCGGUCUCAGUUCGGAUUGAGGUCUGCAACUCGACCUCAUGAAGUCGGAGUCGCUAGUAAUCGCAAAAUCACAACGCUGCGGUGAAUACGUUUCCGGGUCUUGUACCCCCCCAAAUCUAA